rnacentral:tRNA from 3 species
GCCAGCAUAGCUCAGUUGGUAGAGCUACUGACUUGUAAUCAGUAGGUCGGGGGUUCGAGUCCCUCUGCUGGCU